AUUUAGCAGAGGCAGUCCUUUCCUGACCUCAGCGUUGCAGCUUGAGGCUCUGCUCGUCUUUGCCUGCUGUCCACUACCACCCUGGCCUGCUGCUGCCACUCUGGCACCGCGAAGUCUGUAACGCCGCUCCCUCUUCCCCGUCUUGGGACGGCUGGUACUAAAAAUUCAUUCUACGAUACUCGCUUCAGCCACUAGUCGAGGCGGAUUCCGUCUAGAUUUUGUCAUCUGCUUGAGUCACCUGGAACGUGGUCUUUGCUGUAUUCCACUUCCCUAGUUUAACACACCUACCCCCAUUAGGGAAGAAUGGGUAUUUUUUAGCUCUGGGGCACAACUGCGGUGAGAAACACGUCUAGAUAAUCACCAGGCUUAUGUAUAUAGGAAUAUACAUAUACACGGUAUAAAGCGGAGAUAGGAGGACAAAAUACGAAACGUUGGAGAUGUUGUGCGUGUGUGACAGGCUGGAGGGAGGAGGUGCAGCAGCGGGCAAGGAUAUUUGAGAGGGCCUGACGUGAGAGAGGGGGCGCAUGCGCAAGACUUAGAGCAGGAGAGGGUCGAAGGCGUGUUUAAAAAAGCAAAGUUGCUAGUAGUUGGAAGUCACUUUUCGGAGGGAGCAUGUGGGUGUGAUUGCGUAUUUGAGAGAACACGGACAGGACAGUUGACUUUAACGGUGACAAUAAAUGAGAUCAAAAGCCAUUCCACUGGUUAAGAAGUAUAUUGAGCCCUGCCUGCCCCAGUGAUAUCACUAGAGAAUUAGGAGAAACUCAAAUCAACGUCUUGCAGGUGGUUGUCAAACCAUUCUGAAGUCUUGGUUUAGAAGGAAUCAGUUCUUCUAUUGAAAUCUCAAAAUGUGAUCUGGAUAAAGGAACAGGUAUCUUAGUCAAGGAAGUGAUUGUUGAACAUGGAGCUUCUGAUUCCUGUACUUCCUGACAAGUUGAUCUUAAUUAAAUCCUUCCUGGGGUUGCAACUUGCAAAUGCCUGUAGAAUCCAGAUGGAGUAUGUCAACAUAAGAAACAUUCAAACCUGUAGAGAAUUUUUGUGAGUUUAUUUGAGCCAAACUGACGACAAUUGCCGAGAAGCAAAACCUCAGCGGAUUGAGAAAAUGCUCCGGAGAAUGGAAGUUUUGCACCUUAUUUUAUAUAUUACAAUCGAAAGAGGAUGUGUAAGGGGCUUUCAUGAAAUCCACUGGUCAUAGAUUACGGUGGCAGGAGAAAGCAAAGUGGGGAAACCUCUGGGAUUGGAUAAAAGAUAAAAUGAUAACAUGUACUUCUUACACUGGUGGGUAUAACAUAGUUAACAGUCAACAAUGAACAUGGUAACAAUAACAAUGAGGGGAUUUGUGGUCUCCCCAGGUGCAGUGCCUGCACUUUGAGGGCCUGGAAAAAAGAAAUUUGACAUUACAAAAGUAUGUUAGCAUAGAUGCAAAAAGACAGGCUCAGUUAAGGUAAAGAUUGACCUUUGUUAGAAAAAAAAUACCAGCCUAGGACAUGACUACCCACUAUGAACUGCUUUUAGUCAGAAAGUUCUAAUUUCAGACCAUGUUUAUGUCUCUGAGUUUGUAAGGCCACCAUGCAGGCCUCCCCUGAGCUUGUCAGGUUUAGUGUGGCCCCUUUUCUUCCACAGGUAGAUGUGUAAGAUGGUUCUGAUAUUUAUUUUCUUCCUUUUUAUUGAAACACUGCUUUGGGUUUCUUUUUUAUUGUUGUUCUUGUUUUGUUUUGUGUUGGGCUUUUCUUUUGUUUAUCUACUUUUGAUAGAGACAUUGGAAAACAGAUUACUCUUAAAAUGAAAACAAGAGUGCCAAUGUAAUGGUAAAGAGAAAGUAAUGCUUUUAAGAGAAUAUAGGGAGUAUUUGGGAUUGUGGUCCACUGGAACAUGCACCUUUCAUCCAAAGGAGAAGGCUUUUUACUCCUUGGUCCCUGCUGAUAUUUGCCCAGUGGGAAUACAGACCAAUAUUGACAGGAUUUCCAGCUUUCUACAAGGAACCUGAUUGUGAGCUGUUAGCUUAAUUUUUUUUUAAUGCCACAGGCCCACACAGUAUGUUUAUAAAUGCUUUUAUAAACUCGUAACUUUUGCUUCUUUGUAAUUUUAGCAUAUUUGUAGUGUUACCUUUUUCCAAUGUGGUAUGUGUUUCAUACUCUGCCUGGGCAGUAUUUAAAACUAGGUCACAGUUUUGAAUGGAGUUGUAUAGAUUAGGGAAAAAUAAAAUAUAGAAUGUAAAUAUGAAAACACUAGCCUCUACCUGGCAAAGGGUAAGUACUUUGUGAAAUUUUGGUUCCAGCUAUAUGUUUGUAUGCAUGUGUAUCUUCCACCCAAUCUAAUUGUAUUUCUUACUGUGGAUUAAACAGUUUUACAAGAUUUUGUGACACAUUGUGAGCAAACUGACAUCCUUUGGAGUAAGCCCCUUCUGUAGACAGGUCUCCUUUGGCCUGCACAGUGUCUCUUAGAAAUCUCAUGGUUGCCAGGGACAGGGGAGACUGGGAAAAUGGGAAGUUGUUUAAUGGGUAUAGGGUUUCAGUUUUAGAAAAUGAAAAAGGUUUGGAGAAUGUUUACUGAACAAUGUGAAUAUAUUUGACACUGCUGAACUGUACAUUUAAAAUGGUAAGAUGGUAAAAAGGAGUACAAAAAUAGCUCAUUAAUCAGCAAAGUUACACAGUCAUCAGAAUAUCCUUGGGCAUGUUAAAUGUAACAUCUUCAGAUUUAAAAGAAGUUGUAUCACCAUCUUUGAUGCAAUCUUCCAUUCCUGUGUAUGAAGGGGCAGUAAACUAUAACUCAAAGGCCAAA